CCGUCGUUUACUUUGAAUACGUCCCUACAGUUAGGGGAAAAGAUUCUACGUGGAAAACCAUGUUUUAAAAUAAAAUUUUUUCAAAUCCUAAGUAUAAGCUUGCGUAAAUUUGAAAAAUGUGUCUGCCAGAGAACACUCCAAAAAUCGUCCCUGUUCACCAAGGUUGCUGCUCUGAAAUUCAUUUACAAUUUCAUCGUCACUUCAGGUUUUACCUAAGAGUCUUUUAACAUAUUUGGUCCUUGAAAAAGAUAUUUGGAAGUAAUUUGGUUACAAUGAAGUACUCAAGUAAAAUUACUGGGGUUUGAUUCCACUAGUGCUUGGAGAAGUAUUCAGCUUAAUCAACACUACAGUAAACUUAGCUUAAAAACAGAAAGGUUUAUUGAGCACCUGCUGUGUACAUUGUACUACAAUAAACAGGUAAUAAUAUUUCACCCAAUUUGCGCUGUCAUCAGGCCUAAUGAAAAAUAUUGAAGUACAAUGCUGUUUUAAGUAUUUCAUGUUUCUACAAGUUACAAACUUUUUUUUUAAUUAAAAAGAAGUUAAAUCAUUAGGAGAACUCAAGGGAAUCCUUUGUAAUAAUAAUUACCCACUAACUUAUUUGUUACAUAAAAUUAGAUUUGAAAGAUCAGAUUUUCUUAAGGCAGAUCUAUAUUCAUAUAGAAAUUUUCUUAAACUAGUAGUGCCUCUGAUUGAUUGAAUAUAUAUGUUGUACGUUUUUAUAAAUGACCUUCGAAAUGACGAAAAUGCUGCCAGAUAGCUAUUUUGUCGCCUAUUCUUCCAGAUUUGGUAAUUGAAUGAUUUUGGUUAAAACUUAAUCAGAAAUGUAGUUGCACAUCUUGUUACUUGGUAUAUCCAAAUAAAAUAAUGAUUGUCAUUGGUUGCAUAUUUUAUUUUCUUAAAUAUAACUUCUUACGACUCUAGUUUCCCACAACAUUUGGGAAGAUGUGCAAGGUAUACUCCAUUUAGGCAAAAAUAACUCCCAGCGAAGAGUCAUUGUCACAAGCAGUAAUUUUGUGCUGCAACUACAAGCUUUAUUGGAAUAUUAUUGACAUAUAACAUAGGAAAGUACUGCCACUUACAAUCUUCAUCAGCAAGGAAGAAGGACUCAGGGGUUCUUUCUGGGAGUGGAGGUGGAGGGGAAGAAGAACGAUCUUGAUGCAGAUCUGUGGUAAGAAGAGUAUAUAACAAAGCAAAAGAAAAU